rnacentral:tRNA from 1 species
GGGCCGGUGGUCUAGCCUGGUAGGACACUGCCCUGACGCGGCAGAGGUCGAGGGUUCAAGUCCCUCCCGGCCCA